rnacentral:snRNA from 1 species
UGUUGAAAAAAUAUGAUUCAA